GACGAACGCUGGCGGCGUGCUUAACACAUGCAAGUCGAACGGAAAGGCCCUGCUUUUGUGGGGUUCUCGAGUGGCGAACGGGUGAGUAACACGUGAGUAACCUGCCCUUGACUUUGGGAUAACUUCAGGAAACUGGGGCUAAUACCGGAUAGGAGCUCCUGCUGCAUGGGGGGGGUUGGAAAGUUUCGGCGGUUGGGGAUGGACUCGCGGCUUAUCAGCUUGUUGGUGGGGUAGUGGCUUACCAAGGCUUUGACGGGUAGCCGGCCUGAGAGGGUGACCGGCCACAUUGGGACUGAGAUACGGCCCAGACGCCUACGGGAGGCAGCAGUGGGGAAUAUUGCACAAUGGGCGGAAGCCUGAUGCAGCAACGCCGCGUGCGGGAUGACGGCCUUCGGGUUGUAAACCGCUUUCGCCUGUGACGAAGCGGGAGUGACGGUAAUGGGUAAAGAAGCACCGGCUAACUACGUG
rnacentral:rRNA from 1 species